rnacentral:lncRNA from 1 species
GGAUUUAGGUGAACAGCUUAAAUAGAUUUUACAGCGACACAAUGUUUUAUAUAAAAGGAAAAUAGUAACAAGCAAAUAAAAUAAAUAAAUAAAUUGUUUGGCUGUGUUAAAUCAGUGUAUUUAUAUUAUGCGUCACACACAGUAAAUACGUAAAAUCCCUGACGGGAAACGUUUACGUUUUGCAUUACCGAUCAAAACGCAGCGCACCAACUCAAUGCAGCUCACUUGUCCGAGGUUAAUUAAAUCAGCGCAGCCAACAGGUGCAUGCUGGGCGCAAGCUAGUCGCCCAUGGCUAACCCUACUGUGGGUAGCUAGCUAGGUAGCUAGCCAGGUAGCUAGCUAGUGCCCUGGUCAGCCUUUAAAUGUUUGUUUUUUAUUACAACUGGGCAGCGUCAUGAUGCACCUUGGGAUCAAAAUCGUUGUUCGAUGCCCAUCCUUGGUUAUAUGCGCGAUGCCAGCAGACCUCAUGGAAACCACAGGAAUGUUCCUCCAAACCCACAGACUGCUCCGAACUGCAACCCAGACUAGUUGCGGGAUGAGACCAUCCACAGCCUCCAACCAAAUGUGCUGCUUUCUCAUCAGGCCCAUGCCUCCCAGACCACGCAGAAGGAGGUGA